rnacentral:lncRNA from 10 species
GCUUGAUGGGGAUGGCAUUGAAUCUAUAAAUUACCUUGGGCAAUAUGGCCAUUUUCACAAUAUUGAUUCUUCCUGCCCAUGAGCAUGGAAUGUUCUUCUAUUUGUUUGUAUCCUCUUUUAUUUCGUUGAGCAGUGGUUUGUAGUUCUCCUUGAAGAGGUCCUUCACGUCCCUUGUAAGUUGGAUUCCUAAGUAUUUUAUUCUCUUUGAAGCAAUUGUGAAUGGGAGUUCACUCAUGAUUUGGCUCUCUGUUUGUCUGUUAUUGGUGUAUAAGAACGCUUGUGAUUUUUGUACAUUGAUUUUGUAUCCUGAGACUUUGCUGAAGUUGCUUAUCAGCUUAAGGAGAUUUUGGGCUGAGACUAUGGGGUUUUCUAGAUAUACAAUCAUGUCGUCUGCAAACAGGGACAAUUUGACUUCCUCUUUUCCUAAUUGAAUACCCUUUAUUUCCUUCUCCUGCUUAAUUGCCCUGGCCAGAACUUCCAACUUUCAAAUAAAAUUGUAAGGGUUUUGUAACACAAUCCAAAGCUAAUGCAAAAUGAGACCUUGACCAAAUUUGUUUUAUACAUUAAGUGAACUUGGAUGGGCAAGAUUCAUUAAUUUAUUGAGAACAAAAACAAAACCAAAGCCUAGGCUUGGCAAGAUCUAAUCCCAACACUUUGGUAGGUCAAAGCGGGAGAAUCUCUUGAGCCCAGGAGUUCAAGACCAGCCUUAGCAACAUAGAGAGACCUUGUCUUUACAAAAAUCAAAAACAAAAACAAAACACUGAAAAACACAGCAAGAAGUGCAUUUGCUUUGACAGCUAUGUUCUGGGAAUAAAUAAUAGUUGUCAGGGACGAUAAAAUGUAGCUCUCUUUUCAUUAAACCUAAGUUUUGCCUAGAAAUCACAUAUAUGUUUAUAUAUUAUAUAUUUAAGUAAGAAAAAAACCCUUUUGACCUCUUUGGAUAUGUAUUCUACAUAUCUACAUAGCACCAGAUUUUCUGAAGUGAAAAAGUAAAAGACCCUGAUUUAAGUAAUAUAUAUCAUUUAAUGACUAUAAUAUCUGUUUAUUUUUUUAAAUAUUGAAUUAACUCUUUCUUUCUAAAAUAUGUUUCAUACUCCUUAGUUUUUUUCUACUCUAGGUACAACUUUUCAACCUUUUUUAUAUUUCAAAGUCCAGUGGUAUUAAGUAUGAAAUGGUGCUUAACCUCAAAUGUUAGAAAUAUAAAGCUUAUCCUAAGUAGUUUCUGAAAAGAUUGCAAUCUGCUUGGAAUUUUCUUUUUUAUAUAUUAAUUUUCAUUUUUACAAGAAAUCCAUUGUGUUUAAAUUCCCUUAACAGUACAUUCAAAAUCAGGAAUAUUACACUUUCAUUGCCCAUCUUUACAAUUGUUAUUAACUUCUCAGGGUAAUUUUAAGCAUUGGUAAUACCUUAAAUAAAUUGCUUUUUGUAAACACUUAGAUUAUUUUUUGUGUGAGAUAGUUUAUUAUAUUUACCAUUUCCUACAGCUUAGAAAUAAAACUGAGUCACUAUUUCACAUUACUUUUAAAGUCUUGCCACAAUUUGUUUUUAUAACUUAAACAUAAAAUUUGAAUUUAGGGUGAGCUGCAUAAAUAGCCAAAAGAAAAGAAAGAAGAGAAUACUCUGACUUAUUUACUUUGAAAAAUCAAUUGCAUAUACAUGUGUGUAUAUGUAUAUAUACACACACAGAUACACAUAAAAACACACUGGAUGAGAUGCUGGCAAGAAGUACAGAAUACCUCAUUAAUUAAAAGGAUUUUUUUUGCAUGUGUCUCAGGCAUCAUAAAUUUACCAAUGUUCUAAUUAUAUCUAUAUGAUUUGUAUAUGUACAUAUAAAUUGGGU